GACGAACGCUGGCGGCGUGCCUAAUACAUGCAAGUAGAACGCACAGUUUAUACUGUAGCUUGCUACACCAUAGACUGUGAGUUGCGAACGGGUGAGUAACGCGUAGGUAACCUGCCUGGUAGCGGGGGAUAACUAUUGGAAACGAUAGCUAAUACCGCAUAAUAUUAAUUAUUGCAUGAUAAUUAAUUGAAAGGUGCAAUUGCACCACUACCAGAUGGACCUGCGUUGUAUUAGCUAGUAGGUGAGGUAACGGCUCACCUAGGCGACGAUACAUAGCCGACCUGAGAGGGUGAUCGGCCACACUGGGACUGAGACACGGCCCAGACUCCUACGGGAGGCAGCAGUAGGGAAUCUUCGGCAAUGGACGAAAGUCUGACCGAGCAACGCCGCGUGAGUGAAGAAGGUUUUCGGAUCGUAAAGCUCUGUUGUAAGAGAAGAACGGGUGUGAGAGUGGAAAGUUCACACUGUGACGGUAUCUUAACAGAAAGGGACGGCUAACUACGUG
rnacentral:rRNA from 1 species